rnacentral:rRNA from 1 species
CCGUAACUAUAACGGUCCUAAGGUAGCGAAAUUCCUUGUCGGGUAAGUUCCGACCCGCACGAAAGGCGUAAUGAUUUGAGCGCUGUCUCGACAAUGCACCCGGUGAAAUUGAAAUACCAGUGAAGAUGCUGGUUACCUGCGCCAGGACGGAAAGACCCCAUGGAGCUUUACUCCAGUCUGGUACUGGGACUCGGUAUUGCAUGUACAGGAUAGGUGGGAGGCUAGGAGAUGGUAACGCCAGUUGCCAUGGAGCCGCUGUUGGGAUACCACCCUUGCAGUAUUGGAUUUCUAACCAGCAGCCGUGACCCGGCUGGGGGACAAUGUCAGGUGGGGAGUUUGACUGGGGCGGUCGCCUCCGAAAGGGUAUCGGAGGCGCUCAAAGGUUCCCUCAGAAUGGUUGGAAACCAUUCGAAGAGUGCAAAGGCAGAAGGGAGCUUGACUGCGACACCGACGGGUGGAGCAGGUACGAAAGUAGGACUUAGUGAUCCGGUGGUAUAAAGUGGGAUUGCCAUCGCUCAACGGAUAAAAGCUACCCUGGGGAUAACAGGCUUAUCACUCCCAAGAGUUCACAUCGACGGAGUGGUUUGGCACCUCGAUGUCGGCUCAUCGCAUCCUGGGGCUGUAGUAGGUCCCAAGGGUUGGGCUGUUCGCCCAUUAAAGCGGUACGCGAGCUGGGUUCAGAACGUCGUGAGACAGUUCGGUCCCUAUCCGGCGUGGGCGUAGGAUAUUUGAGAGGAGCUGUCCUUAGUACGAGAGGACCGGGAUGGACGGGCCGCUGGUGUACCUGUUGGAGUGCCAACUCCAUGGCAGGGUAGCCAAGCCCGGACGGGAUAAACGCUGAAGGCAUCUAAGCGUGAAGCCCCCCUCAAGAUGAGAUAUCCCAUAGAGUUAAUCUAGUAAGACCCCUUGAAGACGACGAGGUAGAUAGGCAGAAGGUGGAAGUGUGGUGACAUAUGGAGCUGAUCUGUACUAAUAGGUCGAGGGCUUAACCGA